AACUGAUCAUUAAUUUAACCUGUGAAGAGCAUUGUACGGAAGCAUCCGUGUUAUUUCUUUAGAAAAUUUGGUUGAAAGAAACCCAAAUUUCUAACAUGGAAACGUUGUAAAAAUGGGUCAAAUUUGACCGG